CUACUGCCUUAAAACUUCGCAUUACUUUCUCGAAGACACGUGACUCUGCAAACUAUAUGAACGCUCUUUCUUCUUAAACUCCGCGCGGGUUUCCCCGGCACUCUCUGUGGAGCGGAGAACCGACCAAGGCCGCCGGAGCGACCGGACAACGGACCGAAUCGAGGGUUUCCUCCCUUUGUUGCUCUCUAGGUUUCAAUUCAUCGCUGAGAUUAUUCCCGACGGGACGAUUUUGGGUAUUGUUUUAAGUAUUGGAGAUGGAGGGUUGGGAUUGUGCCGGCGAUGACUAAAUGUUUGGGGUUAGCUUCACCGGCGAGGGAGCAGCGAGGCUCCGGGAGAGGAUUAUGGAGAAUCUGAAGGAGUUCAUGGGAGAUUACGCCGACGACAUCCUCAUGGUAUGAUUCCGUUUUCCAUUUCACCCCCUAAAUUUUAUAGUCGGAAAUGCUUAAACCACUGCUGAUUUUCUGAUCUUCCGGCGUCUGAGUUGCUUCUCUGAACUUCUUGGUUAUUUUACUCGAAUCAAAGUGAAAUGAAGUGACGAUCGCUGGGUCUCGAAAUAGUCAACAUUUCUGGCUUCCAGAUGAUUUCGUUUGUAGGGUUUUAUGGAGUUUGAUAGCAAUCUAUACUGAUGAAUUGAUGGAUUAUAAUUGGGAUAAAUGUACUAAAAUGCUUCUUCUUUUUUUUUGAAAUUCAUAUGCCGAGAGAAAGCUAAUUUAGUCUGGUAGUAUAAUUCUUCCCUCUGUAGGUGAAGAUACCAUAUAUCCAACUCCACUGAUACUUUUCUUGAUUAGACAUUUUAUUCGGAAAAUGUGGGGUUUCAAAGAUAUGCCAGAGAGUAUCUCAAAGACAUCAUCAAAUUAACAUGCGGUAGUUCUAAGAAGGACUUGAGUUAAACAUUUAACAACUAUGGUUUGCUUCAUGAACCGGGGCGCGUCUCCGUGGUCAUACCCCUCUGCAUAGCAAACAUGGGUUCUAGGUUCGAAUCUUAGGUGGUAUAUCCCUACAUAUUGCGACCUAGGUAGUUCUAGCACAGGUGGGUCUCUCUCUCCCCUCUCUCUAAGUUUGGUGGGGGCAGUUUCUGGAUCGUAGAGAAGCUUGUAACAUAAUGGCUCCCAUACCAAUGAGUUUGGAUAAACGCAUGAGUAUUGAAGAUUAUUUACAUAUUUGAAGAUGGGGUUAGGGUGGGCAUGGGUUACCCAUUUCGUUUUGGAAUUAUGUUUUGUAUAGUGACAUCUCUAUCUGUUUGUAUUUCACUUUCUUUAUAUCGUUUAUAUAUUUUAUCUGGAGUGGUUGGCAUAUCGGUGAAAGAGUGCAGCUGAGUUUUGGCAGGUUCCCCCUCCUUGGGUGGCGAUUUUGAGAUGGGUAGGAUGACAUGAGUGGUUUUUGGAACUAUAUUUUCUUUUAUUGAUGACAUCUUCCAUCCUCAGGUGGCAUUUUCUUUAACCUUUUCUUGUAUUUUGGCAAAGUGCCUAAUGAUAUUGAGAAAGGAACACAGUUCAUUGACAUGAAGAACGCAAGGGUGAUUCAGACAAUACUGUUACAGUCUUAUAACCAGGGAAGCCCAAGAAUAUGUUCUGGUCAUAUUCAGGAAUUGUAGACACAAGGAUGAGGCAAGAAAUGAGCUUAAUGUGUUCUUAGGAGAUGGCCAUGCUGCUUUUGUAACCUGGUAUCCCUGCUUUUCUCAUUAUGUAUUUUACAGUUUUAGUUUUUCCAGUUCUAACAGUGAAAUCAAGAUCCUGACUUCAUUUUCACUGGAUGUGUUAGGCAAGUUUGGAUGAGACCAUUUUAUUGCAGGUUUUCAGUAUCAUCUAUCUUCAAACGUGCACCUGUACGUGCAACUUCAUGACUCAUCUCCUGAUAAAAUGCCCAAAACACAAUCCAUAUUAAAUGAAUCUUCUGGAAGAUACCAUUCAUGUGCAGCAAAUGCAAGUUAUAGAAUGCAUUCUGAUUCUGGAAAUAUGAGAGAGAGAGAAAGAGAGAGAGAGAGAGGUCAGCUAAAGUUUCUGAAAAUUGGCACAAAGGGGAAUGGAAAGGAUUGGUAUGGGAGGAGACUGAACCAUUUUCUCUUUGGAGCAUGAUGGUUGAGAAUUUUCAGUCGGCGGAAACAAGGUAUCGUUGAGCCAAAUGAUCCAGUGCUCUCAGACCUCAAAUUCACAAAAAAACAGACUGGACAAUAUUUCUAGCAGCUAAAAAGGUUUUUUAUGCUAGAACUUAUUUAUGGUUCCACCAAAUUAAGUAGCCAGUAGACCCUGCAUCAUAUUUGCUCUCUUUGUUUUGUUGCUAACUAGAAAGCAGCAAACUAUUGUAAGUGAUGCAUAUGACCGGGAUUCUAUAGAUUUCACCAAGUCACUGUAAUAAAGUGUUGAAGUUUCAUCAAGUUAUGGAUUUGCAUAAUCUUUAUACCAUUUUCUGGCCAGAUAGCUUUCGCAAUUUAUUUGCUUUCUAGUAGUUUCUUUCCUCCAUCUUCUUCCCUUCCCUUAUUUUAGAAGCACAAUUUUUUAUUCCAUAGUUUUUCUCCAAAAUGACUAAAUGCAGCUUUGCCUCAUAUUGAAUAACUCCCCAUCUUUAUUUUUGCUUCAUUGGGAAGAGGUUCUUAAGGGGAUUAUGUAAAUUUAAGCACUUACAGGUACUGUGCUUACCUUUUUGCCUCUUUAAACUCCAAAAACAUUCUAGAGAGCAAGGUUUUAAAAUCCGGUACGGACCAUGGUGCCGGUUUUUUCUAUGAUCGGUAUGGUACUGGACUGUCUCAUACCAACUCACUGUGCAGUGCUAUGUACCAAUACAUUUUUUUUUGUUUAUUUAUUUAAUUUUUUCAGUUUUUUAUCUUUUUAAUUCACAAUAUGGAUACUAAGCUAUCUUAUUUUAUCAUGUUCAAGUGAUUUUUGAUGGGGCGCUUUGAUGCCAAAGUGUCAGUAUUGUUAAUGAUACUCGUAAUUUCCACUAUUGAAGUGUACUAAUUCAAGAGUCUAGUUUAACUAUAUAAAUUAAUAAUCUAGUUUAAGAAUCAGGUUCUUUUCUGCUUUUCUUGCUGGGCUCCAUCUGGCCACCUAAUGACCUAUGCUCCUUGCAUAUUCAAUAAUAAAUAAUUAAGUUCAAUAUAGUCUAUACAAAAUUUUAUGGGGUUCUAUGAUAGUUUUUCCAGAAUCUUAACCUUAUUACUUUCAUUUUUUACCUUUAGAGGGUGAUUUUCAGAAUUCUGAGUUUUUUGCGAAUGAAAAGAAACUCUGCUCUGACUGAAAAAGGAAAGGAAAGCGAAAGAUUCAGAGUUUCGUCAAAAGAAAAGUGGAAAAAAAAAUGUCAAAAGAGCCAGAUGAGUCUAUAGACGGAUCAAAAGAAUCCGAUCUCGAAAGAAGAGAAAUGAGAAUGCCUCGUAGCAAUUCAUUGGCAUUAUGGUCAAAGCCCGGUGAGCAGGCAAGAAAGAGAGAGGUAGCCCAACCACUUCCAAAAGCAGGUAGGGAUUCUUAAAAAAGAGAUAUGGGGUAAUUAUGAUUUAAAAUGAAUAAUUUGGAUAACUACAAAAAUGCAUAACUAUUUCAAAAAUCAGCUUCUAAAUUAUCUGUGCAUGUUCCCUUUUUUGUACAUUUAAUCAAAUCUUUUAUAGGAGCCUGGCUUGUAGGGUAGAAACGUUGCAUCACCCUCUUCCCCUCUUCUUUCCUCUCUCUCUCCCCUUUCUUCUUCUCCUUCCUCCUCCUCCUCCUCCUCCUCCUCCUCCUCUUCUCUCCCUCUUUCUUUCUCUUGGUCGAAAGGCCGUUAGGGGUCCCCAAACCACUCCCGUGACCCUAGAAGUGAGGAGCUGCUGGCCGAACCAACUGUGGUACCAGUCCAAACAAGCCUGUACCUAUCUACACCAGCUGGCCAUCGAUUCCAGUCAGUUUCAUUGUCCUGAGGCCAGCAUGCAUGACAGUUUUUGUCAGAAUGGUACAGUACAAAUGGUACUGUCCUGUUCCGACAGUUUUUCAAUGCUUGCCAGAGAAUGAACAAUCCACUUGAGUGCAUUAUGAUAUAUUGGAAGUGAAUUUUUUCAUCAUUAAGUAAAGAAUGUCCUUAUUAUUUCUUACUGAAUUUGUACCUGAUGCUUUCCAGUCUGCUGUAGGAAGAUAAGAUGGCUACGAGGAACAUAGCUUCCUUAUAUGGGGCAGAAAUGAAUCUAGGAAAUUAUGGACAUAUUCUUUUCUCUCGUGUUUCUCUGUAACUUGCAUUAUCUUGAUUUCUAUUGUCUUUCAUCCUUUUGUUUCUUUAAAAAUAAUCCUCUUGUAAUUGCCAUUAGAGAUGCACAGCUCCCACUUUAAUGAUUGAUGUUUCAUGGCAGCUUCUUUAGUCCACUCUUCUUGAUGAUGUGAGGACUGUCAGGAAGACAAGUGGAAACCAGCUUUAAAGUAGCUUCACUCUGUGAUAUGUCCAUUAACCACAAAUUCUAUGUUGGAGGAGAGACCUCAGACAACCAUAUUCAUUGCAAGAUAUUCAGGUGUUAUGGCAAUGGUGCUCAAAGCUGGAAGAGAACAGCUAAAGAUGCAAAGAAGCUUAGAUGUUCAGGAAAUAUUUUUGAUAGACUUGGUCACCGCAUGGACUAGAUCGAGAUUAUAAAUUAGUCAUCAGACUAUAGAACACCUGAACAAAAGAAAAUCAUUAUGAUUCUGAUCAAAUUCAACAAUUAGAUAGUUUGGAUUAUGGUUCAGGAAGUCAGUAUGAUGGAAUUUCUGCUGGAAAUAUAACCAUGCUACGUAGUGAAACAGGGAAGUCCCAAAGCUAUUAUGAUUUUGAUCAUAUCAGAUAUUCACAUAGUUUGGACUAUGAUCAAAGAAGACAGUACAAUGAAAUUUUUGCUGGAAAUAUAACCAUGCUAGGUAGUGAAAUAUGGAAAGUCCCCAAUUCUUCAUCAAAUAAUGAUGAAUGAAUAUGAUAAUGUCAACAUUGUAAAGCAUCGGGAUUUGAAUGCUUCCCAAAGUGCUUUCUCUGCAACCAAAAGCAAGAACUCACUCGUGGUGCGGUAUAAUUUUGUCAAGGAUACUGAUGGAGUUGUAAAGAAAACAAGGUUGAUGGAUCAAGAUCCACCUGUUACUGCAUUGAAAAAUGCAUCUUGCAAGAUUUUGAAUGUAUCUGUAAUGUGAAUACAUGGAAACCAUCUUACUAAAAGCACCUGAGAGUGUCACAGAGCAGAGAAUCCGAUGGCUGGGGAAAAGGGUAAUGUGGGUGCGAAGAAGCCAAAUUUGCAGCUUAUAAAGGAGAACAUCACCGCCAACUCUCAAUAAAUAAAUAAAUGGGCUUUUAUUAAGUUAAACUUCUAAUUGUCAUUUUCAUUUUUGCAGUAAGACAUGCAUGAGACAAGACUAUGAUAGUCAACUGUACAUAUCUGUAAGCUUUGUGUUUUUUCCCUCUACCUCUAGAGGUGAUUAUUAUUUUAUUUUCUUAAAGUCAAACUCCUUAACUUUUGAAAAUAUACUGAGCAUGAAAAAAUAGGUUACUUGCUUUCCUUUUCUCUGGUGAUGUUUCUCCUUCUGGCUGAUGACAAUCUUAAAUGCAUCAUGGAUUUAGGAAAAUCAGAGAGCUCUUCCAAUUGAUAUAUAUUUUUUUUAUAUAAAAAAAAGGAUCAUUGGAAAGAAAUAUAAUAUUCUCCUGUUUUAAUUUAUUCUCAUCCUUCUCUUUCUACCCUCUUUGACAAAGAAAUGUGCUGAUUUUCUCUAUAUUGUACAGGAUGUGGCUCGUUUGAUUGUUUGAAAUGAGGUGCAGAAAACCGUGGUGUCAACACCUGUGCAAGCAAUUCUACCAUUUUUGAUGCUACGGAGGCGGUAACCACAAUGGACACUUAAAGUGCUGGGUUUGCAGGUGCACUUUGCUGCUACAAAAGAUACACAUUCUCUCCAUUUCAACAACUUUGGAGAUGUGCCAAAAGUCACCGUUGUGGCUGAUAUUGCAACCAAGCAUCCAAAAGGGUUGCCGGGGAUGGCACUGAAAAUUAAAAGCUGCUUCAGUGAUGGUUUUGCGCCAUGCCGCAUGGGUCCCUUCAUUUGCUUCUAGGCAUAACAGAGAACUAUUUCCAGGAGGCAUUCUUAAGUUGCCUUUCAAGCCUGCCCCCCAAUCAAACCUGGUGCCCAAAUUUUACAGUGGAAGCUUGAGGCUCUAACCUUCCAGACCCAGGGACCAGAAGUCUUCAGAACAGUCCACUGACAUCAGGAAACAAUUUCUCAUCUCUUAAGAGGGUGAAAUCUCAUGUAUAUUCUGAAGAGAAGUAAAGCGAGACCUUCCUGACGCAGACCCUCGCCCUCGUGGGUGCAAAUCUGAGUUAAACAAAUUUAAAAAUUUGUUGAUUUGAUUAUACUUAAUUAAAAUUUAUAAAAAAUUUUUAAAUAA